rnacentral:misc_RNA from 1 species
ACUCUUCAACCCGCCCUUUUCUUUAUGAUCAGGUGUCGGUGCUUGGAUUCUGAGCUCUUGCUAUUCGUUUAGCUAGCUCGUAAGACAUUAGCAUUUCAAAUUCGUAAUCGGAUUGACUUGGCGUAAUAGACUAUUCGCUGAGGACACUUUUAUAGUGGCCGAGACAAGAAGAGAGAAGCUUCCAACCCCUCUAGUCAAUUUUUAAG